rnacentral:tRNA from 1 species
UCCAUUAUUCAGUUGGUAGAGUAUAAAGCUCUUAACCUUGUGGACGUGGGUUCAAGCCCCAUGGUGGAG